CCUACGGGAGGCUGCAGUGAGGAAUAUUGGUCAAUGGGCGAGAGCCUGAACCAGCAAAGUCGCGUGAGGGAGUACUGCCCUCUGGGUUGUAAACCUCUUUUGUCGGGGAGCAAAAGCCGGACGUGUCCGGCUGUGAGAGUACCCGAAGAAAAAGCAUCGGCUAACACCGUGCCAGCAGCCGCGGUAAUACGGAGGAGGCGAGCUUUGUCCGGAUUUAUUGGGGUUAAAGGGUGCGCAGGGGGAUUUUUAAGUCAGCGGUCAAAUCGUGGGGCUCAACCCCAUCCAGCCGUUGAAACUGGGGAUCUAGAGUGUGCGAGAGGUAUGCGGAAUGCGUGGUGUAGCGGUGAAAUGCAUAGAUAUCACGCAGAACCCCGAUGGCGAAGGCAGCAUACCGGUGCACAACUGACGCUCAGGCACGAAAGCGUGGGUAUCGAACAGGAUUAGAUACCCCAGUAGUC
rnacentral:rRNA from 1 species